ACCAGGCACAGUGGUGUGUGCCUGUAUUCUCAGCUACUUGGGAGGAUGAGGCAGGAGAAUCACUUGAGCCCAGGAGGUUGAGGCUGCAGUGAGCUGAUUGUGUCACUGCACUCCAGCCUGGGUGCCAGAGUGAGACCCUGUCUCAA
rfam:Pan troglodytes isolate Yerkes chimp pedigree #C0471 (Clint) chromosome 10, whole genome shotgun sequence.